rnacentral:rRNA from 1 species
GACGAACGCUGGCGGCGUGCCUAAUACAUGCAAGUAGAACGCUGAAGAGAGGAGCUUGCUCUUCUUGGAUGAGUUGCGAACGGGUGAGUAACGCGUAGGUAACCUGCCUUGUAGCGGGGGAUAACUAUUGGAAACGAUAGCUAAUACCGCAUAACAAUGGAUGACCCAUGUCAUUUAUUUGAAAGGGGCAAAUGCUCCACUACAAGAUGGACCUGCGUUGUAUUAGCUAGUAGGUGAGGUAACGGCUCACCUAGGCGACGAUACAUAGCCGACCUGAGAGGGUGAUCGGCCACACUGGGACUGAGACACGGCCCAGACUCCUACGGGAGGCAGCAGUAGGGAAUCUUCGGCAAUGGGGGCAACCCUGACCGAGCAACGCCGCGUGAGUGAAGAAGGUUUUCGGAUCGUAAAGCUCUGUUGUAAGUCAAGAACGAGUGUGAGAGUGGAAAGUUCACACUGUGACGGUAGCUUACCAGAAAGGGACGGCUAACUACGUGCCAGCAGCCGCGGUAAUACGUAGGUCCCGAGCGUUGUCCGGAUUUAUUGGGCGUAAAGCGAGCGCAGGCGGUUUGAUAAGUCUGAAGUUAAAGGCUGUGGCUCAACCAUAGUUCGCUUUGGAAACUGUCAAACUUGAGUGCAGAAGGGGAGAGUGGAAUUCCAUGUGUAGCGGUGAAAUGCGUAGAUAUAUGGAGGAACACCGGUGGCGAAAGCGGCUCUCUGGUCUGUAACUGACGCUGAGGCUCGAAAGCGUGGGGAGCGAACAGGAUUAGAUACCCUGGUAGUCCACGCCGUAAACGAUGAGUGCUAGGUGUUGGAUCCUUUCCGGGAUUCAGUGCCGCAGCUAACGCAUUAAGCACUCCGCCUGGGGAGUACGACCGCAAGGUUGAAACUCAAAGGAAUUGACGGGGGCCCGCACAAGCGGUGGAGCAUGUGGUUUAAUUCGAAGCAACGCAAAGAACCUUACCAGGUCUUGACAUCCCGAUGCUAUUUCUAGAGAUAGAAAGUUACUUCGGUACAUCGGUGACAGGUGGUGCAUGGUUGUCGUCAGCUCGUGUCGUGAGAUGUUGGGUUAAGUCCCGCAACGAGCGCAACCCCUAUUGUUAGUUGCCAUCAUUCAGUUGGGCACUCUAGCGAGACUGCCGGUAAUAAACCGGAGGAAGGUGGGGAUGACGUCAAAUCAUCAUGCCCCUUAUGACCUGGGCUACACACGUGCUACAAUGGUUGGUACAACGAGUUGCGAGUCGGUGACGGCAAGCUAAUCUCUUAAAGCCAAUCUCAGUUCGGAUUGUAGGCUGCAACUCGCCUACAUGAAGUCGGAAUCGCUAGUAAUCGCGGAUCAGCACGCCGCGGUGAAUACGUUCCCGGGCCU